CCUUAAGGAUAUUUAUACUCGAGUCCAUCCCUGUGGUCCAUGUAAAAUGGGACUAAACCAAGGGCCGCACUCACUAAUUCUCCUCCAAAUAAGGGAGCACGUUCGUGGUUUCUGAUAAUUGUGCCAAGUGCCUAUAAAUUGAAACUUAACAUACAUCAGUUUGGCCCAUAAAAAUUGGGGUUGAGAAUAGCUUAGGUUGCAAGCUUACAGAGGAAAGCUUUGCAUCGAGUGGUUAGAUUAACCAUGCCAAGUACCCCAUGAGUUUUUGGUAUGCACACAUGAACUAGGAGAUUAAAUGAAGCCCUCUUUGAACAGCAGAGUGUCCCUACAAGAAAGCCCAGAAUUUCUUUUCCUAUUUAGCAAGAAAUGCGAAAAGCAUUGAAACUCAAAACAUGCAAUAUAAUGAAAUCAAUGACAUCACGAACUGGACAAAGGUUGCACUUCCUGCAAGAGAUAGAGACUUUAUCUUCCAAUUCCCGAUCUUGGCCAUCA
rnacentral:lncRNA from 1 species